AUUGAACGCUGGCGGCAUGCCUUACACAUGCAAGUCGAACGGCAGCACGGGGCAACCUGGUGGCGAGUGGCGAACGGGUGAGUAAUGCAUCGGAAUGUACCCAGUAGUGGGGGAUAACUAGUCGAAAGACUGGCUAAUACCGCAUACGCACUACGGUGGAAAGCGGGGGAUCGCAAGACCUCGCGCUAUGGGAGCAGCCGAUGUCCGAUUAGGUAGUUGGUGGGGUAAAGGCCUACCAAGCCUGCGAUCGGUAACUGGUCUGAGAGGACGACCAGUCACACUGGGACUGAGCCACGGCCCAGACUACUACGGGAGGCAGCAUUGGGGAAUUUUGGACAAUGGGCGCAAGCCUGAUCCAGCAAUGCCGCGUGUGUGAAGAAGGCCUUCGGGUUGUAAAGCACUUUUGGCGGGAACGAAACGGCGCUUGCUAAUACCAGGCGCGAAUGACGGUACCCGCAGAAUAAGCACCGGCUAACUACGUGCCAGCCGCCGCAGUAAAAC
rnacentral:rRNA from 1 species